rnacentral:pre_miRNA from 1 species
AGCCUUCUGUAUUCGUGCUGAGAUUUCGUCAUCGAUCAACCCGCUAGUGAUGACUGAUGCAAUUUUCCAAAUAAGUGAAGUG